CUAGUACAAAAUAUUACGAUAUUAAAGUAGUUUAGGUCAUGCUUCCAAGAAAAGCUCGCAAUGUCAUAGAUAAAAAAUGCCUGUACCAUAACCGACACAGGUGGGUAAGUAGAGUAUACUAAGGGGCGCGAGAUAACUCUCUCUAAGGAACUCGGCAAAAUAACUCCGUAACUUCGGGAGAAGGAGUACCUUAUUAAAUAAGGUUGCAAUAACAAGAUCCAAGCAACUGUUUAUCAAAAACGCAGGUCUCCGCUAAGUCGUAAGACGAUGUAUGGGGGCUGACGCCUGCCCAGUGCCAGAAGGUUAAAGAAGUUAGUUAGUCUACAGAUAAAGCUGAUAACUGAAGCCCUGGUGAACGGCGGCCGUAACUAUAACGGUCCUAAGGUAGCGAAAUUCCUUGUCGGGUAAGUUCCGACCCGCACGAAAGGCGUAAUGAUUUGGAUACUGUCUCAGAGAGGGGCUCGGUGAAAUAGACUUGUCUGUGAAGAUGCGGACUACCUGCACCUGGACAGAAAGACCCUAUGAAGCUUUACUGUAGCUUGAAAUUGAAAUUGGACUUUAUAUGCGCAGGAUGUGGGAGGCGUUUGAAAAUAUACUUACGGGAAUAUUGGAGCCAUCAGUGAGAUACCACUCUUAUAAUGUUAGAUUUCUAACUUUUAUCCUAAUCGGGUUAAAGGACAGUUUCAAGUGGGCAGUUUGACUGGGGCGGUCGCCUCCUAAAUGGUAACGGAGGCGCACAAAGGUUUCCUCUGAACGGGUAGAAAUCGUAUCUAGAGUGUAAAGGCAAAAGGGAGCUUGACUGUGAGACUCACAAGUCGAGCAGGGACGAAAGUCGGUCUUAGUGAUCUGACGGUGCUGAGUGGAAAGGCCGUCACUCAACGGAUAAAAGUUACUCUAGGAUAACAGGCUGAUCUCCCCCAAGAGUUCACAUCGACGGGGAGGUUUGGCACCUCGAUGUCGGCUCAUCGCAUCCUGGGGCGGUAGUACGUCCCAAGGGUUGGGCUGUUCGCCCAUGAAAGCGGUACGCGAGCUGGGUUCAGAACGUCGUGAGACAGUUCGGUCCAUAUCCGGUGUAGGCGUUAGAAUAUUGAGAGGAGCCUUUUUUAGUACGAGAGGACCAAGAAGGACAUACCGCUGGUGUACCAGUUAUCAUGCCAAUGGUAAACGCUGGGUAGCUAUGUAUGGAGAGGAUAACCGCUGAAAGCAUCUAAGUGGGAAGCCCACCUCAAGAUGAG
rnacentral:rRNA from 1 species